UACGGGGGGAGCAAGCGUUGUUCGGAUUUACUGGGCGUAAAGGGCGCGUAGGCGGCCACCGCAAGUCGACUGUGAAAUCUCCGGGCUUAACCCGGAAAGGUCAGCCGAUACUGCGGGGCUAGAGUGCAGAAGGGGCAACUGGGAAUUCUCGGUGUAGCGGUGAAAUGCGUAGAUAUCGAGAGGAACACCUGCGGCGAAGGCGGGUUGCUGGGCUGACACUGACGCUGAGGCGCGAAAGCUAGGGGAGCGAACGGG
rnacentral:rRNA from 1 species